GGUUAAGCGACUAAGCGUACACGGUGGAUGCCCUGGCAGUCAGAGGCGAUGAAGGACGUGCUAAUCUGCGAAAAGCGUCGGUAAGGUGAUAUGAACCGUUAUAACCGGCGAUGUCCGAAUGGGGAAACCCAGUGCAAUUCGUUGCACUAUCGUUAACUGAAUACAUAGGUUAACGAGGCGAACCGGGGGAACUGAAACAUCUAAGUACCCCGAGGAAAAGAAAUCAACCGAGAUUCCCCCAGUAGCGGCGAGCGAACGGGGAGCAGCCCAGAGUCUGAAUCAGCUUGUGUGUUAGUGGAACGGUCUGGAAAGUCCGACGGUACAGGGUGAUAGUCCCGUACACCAAAAUGCACAGGCUGUGAACUCGAAGAGUAGGGCGGGACACGUG
rnacentral:rRNA from 1 species